rnacentral:misc_RNA from 1 species
UAGUGUUUUGACUGCUGUUAGUGUUUGUAUAAUGUCUCAGAUCUGCAAUGGGAGUGCCAUCAUUGUGGCGAAUUCUACAACCUGUAAAGAAGGAGGUAUAUUUAUCAGAAUUAAGUGGUUAUAAAAUCGCAAUAGACCUGAAUACCUGGAUAGUUGAAUGUAAAUUAUGUACCGCUUACAAGAAUAUUUACUUAAGAAAUGUUUUCUUGCGUACCAUCGAGUUUCUGAUAAACGGCAUUGAGCCAAUUUUUGUGAUUGAUGGAAGAAUCCCAGAGUUAAAAGAUUCAACAGUACACAAACGCAGAAAGAUUUCCUAUAAUCAAGAAUGUAUCCCACCAAUAAGAAGGGAACGGUCUCGGAGUAUUACCUCUCAAAAGUGUCUUACCCUUCUGAAAUAUCUUGGAGCAACUUGCUUUACGAGUAAUGGUGAAGCUGAGGCGCUAUGUGCACAAUUAAACGCAGAAGAGGUUGUUGAUGCCUGUUUUUCAUCAGAUAGUGACAUUCUCCUCUAUGGUGCCCAAAAAGUCUACCGUAACUAUUCUAAGAUAAACAAGCAAUGUCUGUUAGAAUCGAUCAGUGCUAAAGAUGUCUUUAACAAGUUCGGAUUAGAGCAACGAUCUUUGAUUUGUUUGGCUUUGCUGAUUGGAUGUGACUAUGACAGCCAAGGAGUGAAAGGAAUCGGUUCAAAAUAUGCUUUGAUGUUACUGGAGGAACUAAAACUGAAAAACGUCGAUGCUUUGGAAAGAAUUUUAUGUUGGAGAAGCAAUGCUGAGCUACAGACACUGGCUAAAACAAAAGAGGAAUUUAUUAAAUCUAGACAUUGCCAACAAUGCAUGCACAAAGUGCACCAUCACAGCAAAAUUGGAUGCAAAAAAUGUCGGAUGAAGAAAGUGGCCACAAAAAAUUGCGUUUGUUUUUGCCAUGAAACCGUCCAGAAACUUAAGUUACAUGAAAUGGAACUAAUAGUCAGAGAAAAAGCACUUUUAAAUCCAGACUUUCCUUCAGAGAAAAUUAUUGCAGAGUUCUUGGAUUCCAAACAGAUAUAUGAUGCCAAAGAAAAUAUAACUUGGAAGGAACCAGAUAUUGAAAACUUGUGCAAGUUUAUUGUUGAGAAUCUCUUUUGGUCUGCAGAAAACUUCUUCCUGACGAUGGUCCCAUUGCUUAUUUACUGGAAGCUAAAUUCUUACCCUUACAGAUUUCUUGACGAUUUAAAACCUCAAAGAAGAAAAUUGGACCAAACUGAAAGUCUACACAAGUUUUGUUGAUAUUAAGAAGUUUACGGCAUGCUUCCCAACUAUGGCAGAAAAGUUUGAAGAGUCCAUCAGCGCUGUUGCUGAACAGAAAGCAGCGGAAGACUGAAUGCCGUAAAACUUUGGAAGAAACUACAUAAUGUAUGUUAGAAAUAAAAUUAUUUGAAUGAAA